rnacentral:lncRNA from 1 species
UUCAGGAUGUACUGCUUUUAUUGCUGUAAAAAGCCUGUUACAAAACAGCUUCUAUAAUAUGAUCUCAUUUUUGCUAACAGAAUAAACCAGAAAAGCCACUCUGAAGAUUGGAUUUGACCCUAAAAUAAAUACAUGAAUAAAUAUCCUUUGAAAGUCUGCCACCCUUUAGCUUGUCUUCUUGUCUCUCUGGUAAAGGCAUGGAUUUUUCCACAAGGAAUUCAGGGAGGUGAAGCAGUCCACAGGUGAAACCAACCAAUUGGUUGAUAUCAGGAAGGUUUUGUUUCUAUUUAUAUCGCCUCUCUUUCAUCAUAAAGGACUUAGAUAUCCAUGUUCCACUAUUCCUUGUAACUACCGUGCAGGGGAAGUAUUUUUUACAAUGGAGGGUAAGGACAUUUUCUGGUUACUGUAUACCAUUGGAAACCUACCUUCAAAUGAGCUUGUGUGCUUUCUAAGCACCCAGUUUUAAACCUAGGGAGAAAUAUCAUCAUAUCUGGUCCGUGGAUGUAUAUUCUGUAAGAUAUUUUUGAUAUAAAAACUUAUUUUCAUUAUCGCUCCUUUUUCCAUUAAUUUCCAAUAAAAGAGAACGAUAAAAGUGUUGUUUUAUAUCUUUACUGUCUCAGUAAUGUGCAACAUAAGCAUAAUAGUGUUAAGAAGUCAGAAAUAACUUAACACAGUAGCCAUAGAAGAUGUUUGUAUUUGCAAAAGUUCAACAAUGAUCUUCCCUAGCUUCCCCCAAAUUAGCAUAUUUGUUAACCAAAUUAAUUAAGAAGCUUUUCAAAAUAAAAGCAAUGUUUCAAAUAAAUAAAUUUUCAUAACCAUAGAACAUUUAGUUCUGUUGGAGGUAACAAACAUAUUAUACUCCAGUACUUUAUGAAGAUAUUAGGAUAAAAAUUAUCUGGAUGCAAUUAUAAAUGUACCCGAAUUAGUCAUUUGCUUUUUUGGCGUGUUUGUUUUUCUGCAUGUGUUAAAAUUAUAUAAUAGAUUUUUGUGAUCAGUUAGUCCUUAAAUCAUCACAAUGUUAUCUGAUGCACAGAAUUUAUAUCAUCU